UUGCUGGUGGCUAUGCAGAAUUGAGGAUCCCCCUGUGUCACUGCCUCAAUUCAUCUCUCCUUCAACAGCAUCUCUUAUGGGCCGCGUGGUGCUGAGUGCUGCAGAGAAAGAGGUGGUAUAUGGAACCAGGCUCUCAGGGUGCUGCUGGUCCCCCUCGACUCACUCUUACAAGAGGCCACGGCAGAGGCUGCUGGUGGCCUACUCCGUAUCCAUUCGCCCGGUCUUCCUUCCAGACAGAACCUUGGGUAAUGGCUCAGCUGCAAAACCACAUUUCCCAGACUCUCUUGCAGGUACGGGUGGACCAAUGAAAACUGAUCCCAGUUCCUCCUCCUUCCUGCCCACGUGGCUGGUCCUCCAGCCACCCCGUUGGACCAUGAGGUGACCUUGAGUAAAGUGGCCGCCUGCAAAGGAGAGUGGAAGCGGACAAGAUCCCACGGAAUCAGCAUACCAGCUCAGAUACUCAGUCAUUCCAUAAACAGCCUUCCCUGACUUCCCCAAGCUGGACCAGGACCCCUCCAGAAACCCGCAGGCCCCAGGCUCCUCCUUUCUCAGUGUGCCAGUGUCCGUCUCCUCCCCCGGUCCAUCUACCCCUUCAGGGCAGAGACGAAGUACUGGACCUUCUACAACCCCAUGUGAAGGCUCUCUGGCCGGAGGACUGCCUGCUCAGGACGUAGCACAAUGCCCGAACUUGCUGGCUUUUACGCUCUGAGAAUCAUGAUGUGCUUCCCUGCAAAUGGAUCGGUCACCCACCUUCUUUCCUGGGCACACACACUCUCCCCUCUGAGCCCCACAGUGGCCCCCCCUGGGGCUUCCCAUCCAGCGUGGAACCCAAUGUGGGGCUUGAAUUCAUGACCCUGAGAUCAAGACCUGAGCUGAGAUCAAGAGUCAGAUGCUUAACCGACAGAGCCACCCAGGCGCCCCUCAAAUCACGUUUGAGAUGAGGUAAACUGAGGCACAGAAGGAGUGACGGAUUUAUCUGUGUCCCCGCGACUUGUUCGAUAGGACCCUGGCUCCCGGGACUCACAUUCCUCUGCUCCCUCCCAUCAUUCACUGACACCCUAAGUACUCAAACCAUCCCCAUUAUCUGGUCACUCGCUGCUGCAAAACCUUCUGUGGACCAGCCAAGCCCCCGCUGGUCUGCACUAUCCCCUUCCCUCAAACCUCCAGUCCCACCAUCACCAACUCCGCUGUCACAGACCAGUCAGACUGCCCAAAGAACACAAGCCACGCUCACAUGUCACCAUCUCUGAGAACAUCUUGCCCAUUUCUUUCUGAACAGGCGCUGCCUCUUCCAGGAAGCCUUCCCUGACUGCUCUCAUUGAGUUCUUUCCAGAGCUCUCACACCCGGCCACAUGAGGUGACUCCGAACAGACCUGCCUGUGCUUCGUCUGUAAAUUGCUUAACCGUAUUAGUCCCUAGAGCAGGGAACACAUCUUCCCACCAGCUCGAUGUACCAGGGCAAAAAGAAAAGACUCAAUAUCCCAAUCCAACAGAACACCAGUGGUGGAGAAGUUACCUCCGCAACAUCAACAUGUUCAGAAAUAGCUAUUUACGAGUUCAACUUUGUAAACGUUCUUACCCCCAACACCGCCAUAUCGCAGGAGUACUGGAUGUCCACCCUGUCCGACUGGCCUCCAAAUGGCACUGUUCCUGUUUCCCUGGACACCCUGACUGCCCCAACCAUCCUUGCCUCUGUAUCACAAAGCUAAUGAUUCUUUUUUUUUUUAAUGUUUAUUUAUUUUUGAGAGAGAGAGAAUGAGAGACAGAGUGCGAGCAGGGGAGGGGCACAGAGAGGGAGUCACAGAAUCUGAAGCAGGCUCCAGGCUCUGAGUUGUCAGCACGGAGCCCGAAACGGGGAUGCGGGGCUCGAACCCACGAACCGCGCGAUCAUGACCUGAACUGAAGUUGGACACUUAACUGACUAAGCCACUCAGGCACCCCCAAAGCUAAUGAUUCUCAAACCAAUGCCUACAUGAACUCCAGGUGUUACUAUUGGAAGAUUCCACGGGUCUUUCUUUAAAGAUGACCCCCUAUUAUAAGACUAGACAAUGAAGGCAAGAAUUUUUGUCUCUUUCGUUCACUGGCUGUAUUCCUUGCUCCUAGGAAAAAACAACACGAAACAAAACUCUGGUACAUAGAUGCUGCUCCAUAUUACUUAUUGAGUAUGUCUGUUGAAUAAAUGAGA